CUUCAGUUUUUUUCUUCCUCCAAGUUCAUAUCGAAACUGCUCCAUCUUCUUCUUCAGUCCACCACCACCACCAUCACCAUCCACAAAUAUUGGUAUUGAUUAUUAUCUCGAACCUGUGAGUGACGCAUAGACUUAAACAAGAAAAUAGAGACAAAUCUGUUUCUGAAGAUGAUUGAUUUCAAGGGUUUGAUGGAUUUCUGAAGUUGAAUGUAGAACAGAAAGGGGACUUGGUGCUGAUUCAAAUGGUUUGAGUGGUGCUGAUACCGAAUUGAAGAAAGAGGAAACAGGGAAUUGUUGAUUGUUAAAAGAAAUUAGGGUUUGAGUUAUGAUGAUUCUGUAAUCGAGACAGAGAUGGAGAUCGAGAACAUGAGUUGAAGUUCUGAGAUGAAAGGAUAAUUGGGUAUGUGAAGCUGAAUUUGGUGGUGAGCUAGAUCAGGUGAAGAUUGAGAUGUUACAGGGAAGAUGGAGACUGGAAGGAAGAGAAGAUGAACUGUUGGUCUUGGUAACUGGUUAUGCAGUUGAGAGUUAACAGGCGGAAUUGGUACUGGUGUAUAGAAACAGAACUUAAAUGGUUAAUUGAGUGUGAAAUGGCAAUGGGAUUCUAGCUGCUGGUGAUGACUGAGCAGAUACAGGCAAGUAUGGUUAUUUGCAGUCGAGUUGAAGCUGAGAAUAAAUGGUUAUGAAGCUACAGAGUAAUUGACUGAGCAGGUGUUGGUCCAUAUGCAUUCUCAGAAUUACAAGAGCAUUUCAAGAAUGGAUACAUCUCCGAGUGUACGCUAUUAUGGGCUGAAGGAAGAGCCGAAUGACUGCCGUUGCCAUCGAUCCCUGACUGUUCACAGGAGUAUCUGCUAUUACAGGUGAGUUUAUGUACCAACUUUGGUUUAGAUAUGAAAGUUGCAUAUGACAGAUAUCUGAAUAUGUUUCUAUUCAUGUUACAACAACGACUUCUGACAAUGAUGAUGAGUUCGCCAAAUGGCAAGAGGAGGUUAGGAAAGCGGAACUCGAAGCUGAGGCUUUGAAGCAUGGCUCAAAAUUAAAUGAUGUUGGUGGGUCAGAUCACUUGAAAGACUUGGAGGGGGGUGUUGAUGAAAGGCCUUCCACACCACCUGAUGGCGAGGAAGAAUUCACUGAUGAUGAUGGAACUGUGUACAAGUGGGACAGAGGUCUUAGAGCAUGGGUUCGCCAAAGAACUGUCGAAGAAAGCACAAAAAGCAAAUAAUAUGUGGUGGCGUCUGAGUGGAGUUCUAGGUGAUCAUAUCAUGUUCCAAGCUGCAUUCACAGUUGCCACAAUGGCUUUAACUGUGCCAAUAUUUCUGUCUUACGAAUUGCAUGUGAUUUUCCAAAUACUCAAAGUCUCAGCAUCUAUAUGGAAUGAAGGAGAAGAAGAAACUCGAACUGCUGCCAUUACCAGUCCAACCUGAUCAGCCUGCUACUGUCUCAACCUAAAUUCCCACAGAAACUAACGUCUUCGCAGAGUCCGACAACCAGUCAGAAUAGCCUUGUAUAAAAGAAAAUGACUUGUAAAAUUUCGUUUUCGCUACUGCUAGAAAAGUUUAGUUAGUACACCUAUGGCUGAUAUCUUGGGAUUUAGGAUUUUGAGGCGUGGAAAGUUUAGUUUUGAACUCGAUCCCUAGAAAAUCAAAUAACAACAUAUCAAAUCUCCUUUACAAUUUUUCCUAAA